rnacentral:rRNA from 1 species
UGGGGAAUAUUGCACAAUGGGCGCAAGCCUGAUGCAGCCAUGCCGCGUGUGUGAAGAAGGCCUUCGGGUUGUAAAGCACUUUCAGCGAGGAGGAAGGUGGUGAGCUUAAUACGCUCAUCAAUUGACGUUACUCGCAGAAGAAGCACCGGCUAACUCCGUGCCAGCAGCCGCGGUAAUACGGAGGGUGCAAGCGUUAAUCGGAAUUACUGGGCGUAAAGCGCACGCAGGCGGUUUGUUAAGUCAGAUGUGAAAUCCCCGGGCUCAACCUGGGAACUGCAUUUGAAACUGGCAAGCUAGAGUCUCGUAGAGGGGGGUAGAAUUCCAGGUGUAGCGGUGAAAUGCGUAGAGAUCUGGAGGAAUACCGGUGGCGAAGGCGGCCCCCUGGACGAAGACUGACGCUCAGGUGCGAAAGCGUGGGGAGCAAAACAGGAUUAGAUACCCUGGUAGUCCACGCUGUAAACGAUGUCGAUUUUGGAGGUUGUGCCCUUGAGGCGUGGCUUCCGGAGCUAACGCGUUAAAUCGACCGCCUGGGGAGUACGGCCGCAAGGUUAAAACUCAAAGGAAUUGACGGGGUCUAGCUG